AACGAACGCUGGCGGCAGGCUUAACACAUGCAAGUCGAGCGCAUCCUUCGGGGUGAGCGGCGGACGGGUUAGUAACGCGUGGGAACGUGCCCUUUGCUCUGGAAUAGCCCUGGGAAACUGGGGGUAAUACCGGAUGUGCCCUGAGGGGGAAAGGUUUAUCCGGCAAGGGAUCGGCCCGCGUCUGAUUGGGUAGUUGGUGGGGUAACGGCUCACCAAGCCGACGAUCGGUAGCUGGUUUGAGAGGAUGAUCAGCAACACUGGGACUGAGACACGGCCCAGACUCCUACGGGAGGCAGCAGUGGGGAAUCUUGGCAAUGGGGGCAACCCUGAUCCAGCCAUGCCGCGUGGGUGAUGAA
rnacentral:rRNA from 1 species